rnacentral:lncRNA from 1 species
AUCAACACAGUGGAGGCGAGAAGUCUGGCCUUGCGCCGGCCGGGGAGCUUUUCGCCAAGGCUCCUGUGGGAUGGGAUAGCUUGUUCUCUGGGCUGCAGGAACCAAAACAUUAGACCACCCUUUCUGUGACCUUGGGCAUGCCGCCCUCGGUUCCGAGCCGCAAGUCUUUCUUUCGGGGAAAAUGAAAAGGGGUCAAGAUUUGGACCAGAUGACACCCAAUGUCCCAUUCAACGGUCGCAUUCUGUCAUCCACAGGAAUUAGUCCUGUAUCCGAAACAUUCUCUGGAGCCUGGAGACAGAUGGAGGGGAAGACAGAAGAGAGAUUAAGGAGAAGAAUGGUUUCAUUUGGAAGGACACUGACUAAGGAAAAACAGAGAAAAGGAUGAAACCCAAGCCAACUCUGCAACUCUAUUAAAAACACCAAGACUUCAAUAUAAUCUCCUUAAAGGGAGGCAGUGCAUUCUUCAUGGCUAGAGCUUCAGCAGCUAUCUAGAACCAUAUGGUGGAAGCCACUUACUGAGAACUGUGAAACAAGAGCCUGGGUCCCUGACAUAUGAAGCCACCAUACCUACCUUAAAGUGUCUUUCACUUGAGGGAAAAAUACAUCUUUCUUAGAGAUUUGAAUUUUAAUGUCCCAGAAAUAUAAAGAAGAUGGCAUUAAAAUGUCCUAUAUGUUGGCAGUCCUACCCUGAAGACUUUUUUUGCUUAUCUUUUGUUCUGAGCUACAGUCUUCGCAGAGACUAAAUUAGUGACUGGACAACAGAAGAAAAUAGACCAUCCUGGCUAAAAUGGUGAAACCCCAUCUCUACUAAAAACACAAAAAAUUAGCUGGGCAUGUUAGCGGGUGCCUGUAGUCCCAGCUACUCGGGAGGCUGAGGCAAGAAAAUGGCGUGAACCUGGGAGGCGGAGCUUGCAGUGAGCUGAGAUCGCGCCACUGCACUCCAGCAUGGGGGAUAGAGCGAGACUCCGUCU